GAUGAAGAACGUAGCGAAAUGCGAUAAGUAGUGUGAAUUGCAGAAUUCAGUGAAUCAUCGAAUCUUUGAACGCACAUUGCGCCCCUUGGUAUUCCAUGGGGCAUGCCUGUUCGAGCGUCAUUUGUACCUUCAAGCUCUGCUUGGUGUUGGGUGUUUGUCUCGCCUCUGCGUGUAGACUCGCCUCAAAAUAAUUGGCAGCCGGCGUAUUGAUUUCGGAGCGCAGUACAUCUCGCGCUUUGCACUCAUAACGACGACGUCCAAAAGUACAUUUUUACACUCUUGACCUCGGAUCAGGUAGGGAUACCCGCUGAACUUAAGCAUAUCAUAAGCGGAGGA
rnacentral:misc_RNA from 1 species